AAGACAGCAUUCUGGGAUCGUUUGUAUAGCUGGUUCCUAGAGAAGUUUCUCUGGUCCUGCAGAGCGCAGCAAACCACAGGGAGGAGGCGCAGCGUUCCCUCCUGAGCAGGCACCUGUCCCUGUGGCAUCACCCCAAGUGCCAUUCGCCACUGAUGACCGUUCUUCUCUUCCUCCGAGAGAGCAAGAGGGGAGGAUGAGGGCUGAGAAGU
ensembl:snoRNA U3 Small nucleolar RNA U3